CCUACGGGAGACAGCAGUGAGGAAUAUUGGUCAAUGGGCGCGAGCCUGAACCAGCCAAGUAGCGUGAAGGAUGACUGCCCUACGGGUUGUAAACUUCUUUUAUAAAGGAAUAAAGUGAGGCACGUGUUCCUUUUUGUAUGUACUUUAUCAAUAAGGAUCCGCUAACUCCGUGCCAGCAGCCGCGGUAAUACGGAGGAUCCGAGCGUUAUCCGGAUUGAUUGGGUGUAAAGGGAGCGUAGAUGGGUUGUUAAGUCAGUUGUGAAAGUUAGGGGCUCAACCGUAAGAUUGCAAUUGAUACUGGCAGUCUUGAGUACAGUAGAGGUAGGCGGAAUUCGUGGUGUAGCGGUGAAAUGCUUAGAUAUCACGAAGAACUCCGAUUGCGAAGGCAGCUUACUAAACUGCAACUGACAUUGAUGCUCGAAAGUGUGGGUAUCAAACAGGAUUAGAUACCCUUGUAGUC
rnacentral:rRNA from 1 species